GUGGAGGAGCAGCUGCAGCAGAAGAGGGAUCAGCAGAUGACAGAGGAGGAAAGAGAAAGAGAGUAAGGAAGUCACUCCAUCUCCAUCACAAACUUCAGGAUCUCCUCGCUCACCGGCUCAUCUGGCAGGUGCUGCGCGGGUGCUGCCCCCUAUAGGCAGCAAGGAAGGAUGCCCUGCCUCUUCACCUGCCUGGUUAAAAGAACUGAAGUCUAAGAAGCGAAUGAGUCAGCUCAAUGGCAAAACUUAACCAGACACAAGAAGCACAGCUUAGAUGCUCCUCAGCAGGAAUCGGAUCAUUUCAGCUCUUUGCUGAUGGCACAGAUGAUGACAUGAUUGCUCCAUUCUGCACUUUGAGUGCCUUAUUUUGGACCAUUUCCAAGGGAAGAAAUCAAGCUUCUUCUUUUUUCUUUUUUUUUUUUU